rnacentral:rRNA from 1 species
GUCUAUUUGGGUUUAUAUAUAGUCUGGCCUGCUCACUGACACAGGAUUGUUUAAGAGCCGCGGUAUUUUGACCGUGCAAAGGUAGCAUAAUCAUUAGCUUUUUGAUUGAAAGCUUGUAUGAAUGGUCGCACAAAGGAAAAACUGUCUUUAUUGUAAAAUUAGAAAUUAACCUCUAAGUGAAAAGGCUUAGAUUCUUUAGGGGGACGAUAAGACCCUAUAAAGCUUUACAUAUAAGUAGAGUUUACUUAAUUAAAAAGUAAAAGUUUAAUCUAAUUAAUGUGUUUUGUUGGGGCGACAUAAAUAUAAUUUAUAUUAACUGUUUAUAAUUUAAUACAAUAAUAAAUGAUUUUAAUGUAGUUGAUCCUUAUUAAAGAUUAAAAGACUAAGUUACUUUAGGGAUAACAGCGUUAUUUCUUUUGAGAGCUCCUAUCGAAAAAGAAGUUUGCGACCUCGAUGUUGAAUUAAAAUAUCUAAAUAAUGCAGCAGUUAUUUAAGAAGGUCUGUUCGACCUUUAAAUUUUU